rnacentral:rRNA from 1 species
AGCGAACGCUGGCGGCAGGCCUAACACAUGCAAGUCGAGCGCCGUAGCAAUACGGAGCGGCAGACGGGAGAGUAACACGUGGGAACGUACCCUUUGGUUCGGAACAACCCAGGGAAACUUGGGCUAAUACCGAAUAAGCCCUCACGGGGAAAGAUUUAUCGCCGAAGGAUCGGCCCGCGUCUGAUUAGCUAGUUGGUGGGGUAAUGGCCCACCAAGGCGACGAUCAGUAGCUGGUCUGAGAGGAUGAUCAGCCUCACUGGGACUGAGACACGGCCCAGACUCCUACGGGAGGCAGAAGUGGGGAAUAUUGGACAGUGGGCGCAAGCCUGAUCCAGCCAUGCGGCGUGGGUGAUGAAGGCCCUAGGGUUGUAAAGCCCUUUCGGCGGGGAAGAUAAUGACGGUACCCGCAGAAGAAGCCCCGGCUAACUUCGUGCCAGCCGCCGCAGUAA